UCCCAGCUGGCAAGAUUUCAUCCAAAGAAGAUCAAGAAGAAAGUGAAGAAUACUGCAUGCAAACAUCGCACUUUUCUGUGGAACGUUAUCGAUCUCAGGGAUUUAAUGGACAGCUCUCGAUAAAGCAUCGUAAAGCUUUCCCAGCCUGUGAAAGAUUAACUGAGCAAAGAUACAGUUUGAGGCUCAAGCUCAAAAUUCAAUCCGGUGUGGAUUACUUCAUAGUAAUGAGGUUUGAGGGGGGGGAGUUACUUCUCCUGAUCUGGUCUUGGCCCACUUAAAUAAAUAAACUCCCCCUUGUGCACAAUUGUCAUUUACUAGUGUAGUAAACACAAUUUUUGUCUUAAACAAGUACCGUUAGACCUCGAUUUAAAGCGGUUAAUAAUUACGAAGCCAGAGGUCACUUCUUUUGGAGGGUGAAAAUUAUAUUGAAGUCCUGGUGUCGCGUAUUUAGAGGGUCACAUAUAAUUGGAGGUAACUUUACAGAGUCUACUUGCCUCGAUUUCAGGCCGCUUAAAAACAGAUUUUCAGAUUUUGAUUUUCCAGUGGGCUAACAUUCAAAGCUAGGGAGUGGCUACAUUUACCUCUAUUUAGAACGCGACAUUAAAGAAUAAUUGUCAACGCAGCUGUCGCUACUUUUAGAGGUCAGAAAAUUGCUGAAGCUCCUGGGUGUCGCAUAUUUGGAGGGUCGCCUUAAAUCGAGGUCUUACGGUAUAUAUAUAAUUAUUAUAUAUAAUAUAUAUAUCCUGUUUUCAUGCGGUUGCUAAGAUAUGGCCAGGGGAUAACUAGGACAAUUCCCCUCUGAUAUAUCCCCAGACAUGUUUGCUACAAGAUCAUGUAGAUAAUUUUGUCUACUUUUGUAUUUAUUUUUAUUUUGUGCUGGCUGCCCAUAUAAUAUUAUGAUCAAUGUUUGGUUGCUUUACUGUACUGGUUGGUACUGGUUGCUUUACUGUACUGUAACUAGAUUACAAAGUCGAAGAUAGCGAGGAGAUGAUAGUGAGGCACUUGAUAAGAGAUUCUCGAGCUAGAGCUAGUGCAGUCCAAGUGCUAGUGAGAGCCUGGGAGCCUUGGCACCACUCUGCCUGACACUGCGCACUGUCUGGCUCCAGGUCUGUGGGUAUGGGUUGGUUUAGCAGUUUGUGAGGCUUUAUAGUCAUGGAGGAGGAGUCAGGGUGGGAUAACACUCAUACUAUGGUUGCUAGGGAUUUAUGGCAGUAAACCCACCAAGCACGAGGGCGGACUAGAACCAUAGUAUAACUAUACAUAAUAAUUAUACCGUUGUACUGUCUGGAUGUACUUGAAUUGUAAGCAGCUGGUGAGCAUGACACUCAGUGACAAAAUUUCUAGAGAACGAUUUCCUGACCCCUAAAAAUCCUGUUUAACCUGAAACCCUGGUUAUUUAUCAUAUUUGCUGGUUGGAUCUCGUUUGAGUUUUUUACGCCAGGGUACUUUAGCUCACAAUAAUUAUAUAAUAAAGAGAAAAACCUUCGUAAUUUACAUCCAUUAACUUACUGAACACAAUAGUCCGAACUUCUUAUUUUCUCGUUAAUGGAGGUUGCUGAACUGGCAACAAGUCGAUAGUUUGAAUACCAUGCAGACAUAGACUACAUUUUUCAUAUGUACCUGAGAGGAGAGUGAUUCUUUCCUUCUCGGCACCGUGUCUGCAGAUGUAAGAAAUGAACUUGGAGAGCUUGACAUCUGGAGGAUCCUCUCGAUUCCUCUGCAAGGUAUGAAUAAUUGACUAUAAGUAUUGUCAGCCCAGUAGGCUGUUUUUUGCUGACUGUUCAAGGUUCUCUAGCUUGAUUAAUCGAUAGAUUCCAAAAUCUUUGAGUUCCUAAUAUCCUCUGCUAUGUGGUCGACUACACCAAGAGAUUCUUAAAAGUCGUCAGGAUCCUCUGCAUUUGAGCUGCCAAUGGAGAUUCCGAUGAUUCACACUGAAUGUACAUACAAUGUAUGUAUAUAAAAUGGUAAUAAAAUUAUAAUUAUUAUAUACUUUUGACCUUAUCUGACAAGACACUUAUUAUUAUUAACCAGAUCUCUCAACAGCCUGCAUGAUCCCUUCAUUGUUGGGCGGAGAAAAUUCUAGAGAAAAGAUCGUACCAGUAUAACUUUUAUGAUUAUUAUGCUCUUUCCAAAUAUGCACUAGCGGGAGCAAUUAGCCUAUAAAUCGAGGCGCGCGUGUCCUCUUGGGCAUGCACAUAAUUAUCUUUAGCGCGCUAUGCUCUAUUCACAAAUAUAAACUUUAAUUUUGUUACAAUUCAAUAACAGAUAAUUAUGCUUAAAAAGUGAAGUUUACUUGUCCAUUGUAGAUAUGUGGGGAAAAUAAUUUAAUAUGAUGAAGCAACUCAGAUACUAAAAGUCACGUUAAUUAUUCGACCCUGCACGCCUCCUCGGCCUCUCCAAUAGCCGCCACGCCCACGUCCUCCCUUCCCAUGUUUUCUUGCAAGAGGAGGAGCAGGAGGCAAGGCCGCCGGAGAAGCUGGAGGUGCCAGUGGAGGAGCCAGAGCCAGAGCAAUAGCCAAAGGCCCCUGAGACAGUAUCACUGUAGACUGUAUAACAUUACAUUACGCAUAACUUUCCCUUGAAUCACACUCCUAAUCUUGGAGGGGCUGUAGCCUUGAGCUGUGGUGGAGAUGAGAGGAUAAAACGUAGAAUGGGUUAAGACAUAGUUAUAUGCGAUGCUAAACUGGAAGGCCAUAGAAGAGUACCCACGAUUUAAAUUCGGACGCUGCAUGUGUACAGAAAAAACAUAAUAUCAAAUUUCAUGCGUCCGCCGCAAUUAUAAUGUAUAUAUACCUUUCCAGUGCUUAAAGUCGCUGACCCCACGUGGCUUUCUACGUACUUCUGAUGGAACAACAAUCAGUGCUAUACGUGUGUCAAGUAAUGGAACGUCUUUGCUCAAGUCGUGAAGGGUAUAUAUUCUGGCAUUUUGUCUUAUCUGUCCAGAGGUACAAAAGGGUCGUAGUAACACCAAGAAGGGAGCAGUGUAUGUAGUCCGGAGACAUGCCAUUCACUAUGUCGAAGCUCUUCAGACACCCAAGCCAAGAGGGACCUUUGAGACCUUUCACCUAUAUGUAAUAUAUAUUAUUUUAUUUAUGCAUGUACAUGAGAACUUACUUCACUAUUUGCUUUCGGUAUGACAAUGUCUCCGCUGUCUGUUGCCAUUUCCAUUAGGCUGUUAUAUUCGUCAUAAGAGUAUACUUGAAUAAUGAGUAAGGUCAGGAGAUAAGGCAGUAGUCGUUAUAGUUCGUAGAAUGUUGCUGCAGCAGAUGUGGACUGGUGUUUGUAGAAUCAUUUUAUGGUAAAGAAGUGGUGAUAGAAGAUGCAGCAGGAAUACCAGAAGUUAUUCUGCAGUGUAGUAUAAAAAACAGUGGUAAAACUAGAACCAUACAUGAGACAAUAGUUAUCCGCUGAAACUUAACUUUUUACUCAUCUACGUCUAAAUGAUUGGCAGCUACUCCUGUCUAAAUUGAAAGAAAAGUCCAUAUUGGGGUCCUAGAUUUCCUGUGCGGGCAAGACGCUUGUUAGACUUAGCGUAGACCCGCGAUGAGUUUUCCCACAUGACAAUCACCUGACACAAAUAAAUCAUGCGUGUCAGUGAUGUUGGUCGCCAUUUCAUGUAUACCUUUUAAGACGGGUACUAAUUUUGGCAGAUUUGCAGCAGAACAAUAAAAGCUUGGUAACGCCAGGUGUGUAGCACAUGCGGGGAAGGCCGCAAGGUUGACUGCAUGGAAGCUAUCACAGCCAUGCGACGCUUACUAGAACGCCACCUCCUAAAAGCUCGGUAAAUUCAAUGAAGUUAUUUCGCUCCAUCUUUUCCCGUAAGUCCCGUGAGAUGGGGGUACCGCUCCUUAAAUCUCCUUAGGCACAUGAGUUCUUUACAGAAGCCAUAAUUAUUUGAAUAUCUUUUUUUAAAUUUCUUCACUGAGAAACCUGCAAAAUUGAUUAUUUAUUACUAUAUAAUUAUAGUGUAAAAUACUUGCAGUGGCGGAUAUAUAGGAACAUUCGUCUUCCCCUUAUAUAGAAAACAUUCCAUGGGUGUUUCAAAUGCAAUGAUGUGUUCUAUCUUCACACUAGGCGGAGUUGUCUUAUUGUCUCCUCUUCUCCCUUAUUCUAUUUCGCAGAGUUUUUGCAAUGUGGCCCUGAAAUAUGGGUAGCUAUACUAAAUUAUUUACAAUAUACAUUGUUAACUUACAGUUCCUUCCAGUGGCGACAACAGGAAGGGUUAGCGGCAACAUUUUUGCGGUCAUCAGCACUUGGAUUACUUUUGUACACAAUACAUUACGCCAUAAUCCUGGUUAGAAAUUUGGCAUGAAAUACCGAAUCCAUACACUUCAGGUGCAAUUCUGCAUGUUUCGAUAUGAGUCUAUUAUGGCGGAAGCAUCCUAUAGUAAGCAAUGGGAGUAUGCGAAUGUGCAAGCACACAAUAUAUUUUUUUUUCAUGGUUAAAACACUGAUCUGCGUGGUUGGUCUCGAGGCUAGUCAUGUACAUGUAACAUUCAAAUCAUCAAUGCAACUACUUCAACAAUUAUACAUCGCAUGCAUGCAAGAGCUAGAGUUUAAUAACAAGUUCACUUCAAGAUUUCUGCUGGUUUAUAGUUACUGAGGCAUUGCAGAUCUGCAUAUGGAGGAAAUUAUGGAAAGUUCAAACGACACUAUUAAAACUUCAAUACUUAGAUACUUCUGUUGGCACCUGCACCUGCACCACCACGGCCACGGCCCCCUCGACCUUGCUGUGGAGCAAGAGGCAGGUAUUCCUCGUCACUACAAGAGGUACUGGUGGAAUUUGUCUCCACUAGGAAAGGAUUCAGUGUCAGUAAAAGUGAGAUGGAGACAGGAAGUACUUUAAUACCUUGCACUGCAGGAUCAGGAGGAGGGAGUUCAUACUGAUCAGGCCUAGGAGAAGGAGUGACUGCUUGAAGGCCUCUUAAUUCCCGAACAGAGGUCCGUGCUGUACGCUGAGGUGUGUCUUUAGAAGGAGUUGCCAUUCUGUAUCACAGUUAUUCAAACUGGUAAGCAAAGCAACCACACAAAAAAGUCACUUACCGUAC